GAUGAACGCUGGCGGCGUGCCUAAUACAUGCAAGUCGAGCGAACAGACGAGGAGCUUGCUCCUCUGACGUUAGCGGCGGACGGGUGAGUAACACGUGGAUAACCUACCUAUAAGACUGGGAUAACUUCGGGAAACCGGAGCUAAUACCGGAUAAUAUAUUGAACCGCAUGGUUCAAUAGUGAAAGACGGUUUUGCUGUCACUUAUAGGUGGAUCCGCGCCGCAUUAGCUAGUUGGUAAGGUAGCGGCUUACCAAGGCAACGAUGCGUAGCCGACCUGAGAGGGUGAUCGGCCACACUGGAACUGAGACACGGUCCAGACUCCUACGGGAGGCAGCAGUAGGGAAUCUUCCGCAAUGGGCGAAAGCCUGACGGAGCAACGCCGCGUGAGUGAUGAAGGUCUUCGGAUCGUAAAACUCUGUUAUUAGGGAAGAACAAAUGUGUAAGUAACUAUGCACGUCUUGACGGUACCUAAUCAGAAAGCCACGGCUAACUACGUG
rnacentral:rRNA from 1 species